rnacentral:rRNA from 1 species
UACGGAGGGUGCGAGCGUUGUUCGGAAUCACUGGGCGUAAAGCGCGUGUAGGCGGCCUUGUAAGUCUGGUGUGAAAGCCCGGGGCUUACCCCCGGAAGUGCACUGGAGACUGCAAGGCUUGAGUACCGGAGAGGAAAGUGGAAUUCCUGGUGUAGCGGUGGAAUGCGCAGAUAUCAGGAGGAACACCUAUAGCGAAGGCAGCUUGCUGGGACGUUACUGACGCUAAGGCGCGAAAGCUAGGGGAGCAAACGGG